rnacentral:sRNA from 1 species
AGCCUAACCCUUUGGUCUGCGUAAGUAGGCGAGAGGCAUGGUUGAAAAUCGUGUUAACAGUACUGAUCCCGUCGUUCAGGUAUGUUAACACGUCACUUAAGGAAACUUUUGUGGGGCUUUACGGUCC